rnacentral:rRNA from 1 species
CCUACGGGAGGCAGCAGUGGGGAAUCUUCCGCAAUGGGCGCAAGCCUGACGGAGCAAUGCCGCGUGAACGAAGAAGGUCUUCGGAUUGUAAAGUUCUGUCCUUAUCGAAGAGAGAGUAUAGAGUGAAAAAUGAUAUACUAGGACGGUAGAUGGGGAGGAAGCCCCGGCUAACUACGUGCCAGCAGCCGCGGUAAUACGUAGGGGGCGAGCGUUGUCCGGAAUCACUGGGCGUAAAGGGCGCGUAGGCGGUAAUAUAAGUCAGAUGUGAAAGGUGGGGGCUCAACCCCGGAACUGCCAUUAUGACUAUGUAUCUAGAGUACUGGAGAGGAUAGCGGAAUACCCAGUGUAGAGGUGAAAUUCGUAGAUAUUGGGUAGAACACCAGUGGCGAAGGCGGCUAUCUGGCCAUUUACUGACGCUGAGGCUCGAAAGCAUGGGGAUCAAACAGGAUUAGAUACCCUAGUAGUC